CGAGGUGUAGCUCAGCUUGGUGGAGCGCUGUGUUCGGGACGCAGAGGCCGCUGGUUCGAAUCCAGUCACCUCGA
rnacentral:tRNA from 1 species